rnacentral:rRNA from 1 species
UACGGAGGAUCCGAGCGUUAUCCGGAUUUAUUGGGUUUAAAGGGUGCGCAGGCGGGAGAUUAAGUCGGCGGUGAAAUUUUGCAGCUCAACUGUAAAAGUGCCUUCGAAACUGGUUUCCUUGAGUGUAAAUGAAGUAGGCGGAAUUUGUGGUGUAGCGGUGAAAUGCAUAGAUAUCACGAGGAACUCCGAUUGCGCAGGCAGCUUACUAAACUACUACUGACGCUCAGGCACGAAGGCUGGGGAUCAAACAGGAUUAGAUACCCCUGUAGU